rnacentral:rRNA from 1 species
UACGGAGGGUGCGAGCGUUGUCCGGAAUCACUGGGCGUAAAGGGCGCGUAGGCGGCCGUGUAAGUCACUUGUGAAAUCCCGGGGCUCAACUCCGGGGCUGCAGGUGAGACUGCGUGGCUAGAGCACGGUAGAGGCGAGUGGAAUUCCCGGUGUAGCGGUGGAAUGCGUAGAUAUCGGGAAGAACACCGGUGGCGAAGGCGGCUGGCUGGGCCGUUGCUGACGCUGAGGCGCGAAAGCGUGGGGAGCAAAUAGG